GUCUUUCUGAUAAUAAUAAAAAGUCGAGCCUGCCCAAUGAAUAUUAAAUGGCUGCAGUAUUUUGACUGUACAAAGGUAGCAUAAUCAUUAGUUUUUUAAUUGAAAACUAGAAUGAAUGGUUUAACGAAAAACUUUCUGUUUCUUAAUAAAAAUAUGAAUUUUAUUUUUUAGUUAAAAAGCUAAAAUAUUUUUAAAAGACGAGAAGACCCUAUAGAGUUUUAUAUAUAUAGAUUAUAAAUUUUUAAUUUUAUAAUUUAAUUAUAUUUUAUUGGGGUGAUAGGAAAAUUUAUUAAACUUUUCUUAAUUUAUACAUUUAUUUAUGAAUAUAUGAUCCAUUAAUUAUGAUUAUAAGAAUAAAUUACCUUAGGGAUAACAGCGUAAUUUAUUUUUAGAGUUCCUAUCGAAAAAUAAGUAAGCGACCUCGAUGUUGGAUUAAAAUUUAUAAUUAAUGCAAAAGUUAAUUAUUAGGUCUGUCCGAAAAGUUAAUUAUUAGGUCUGUCCGGAUUAAAAUUUAUAAUUAAUGCAAAAGUUAAUUAUUAGGUCUGUCCGAAAAGUUAAUUAUUAGGUCUGUCCG
rnacentral:rRNA from 1 species